AGGAAAUGACGGACAGUGACCAGGUGGAAAAUCAUCAUGGAAAAAAGUGAUGGGAAACAGGACAUGGGUCUGCAGCCAGCACCUUGCGCACGCUGUCACUCCCUAGUUUACCCUGACUGUUUAAUCUGCUGCUGUCCAGAGAGCAAACAGCACUAACGUGAGAGGAACACCGCAGAACUAAGAGUGAUGGAGUGAAGCAAACACAGUGAUGUCAUGAUGCAUACUGACUUUUUCAUCUGCGAUAUAUAUACAUGAACAUAAAAUAGCAUACUACUGUAAAUAUUGCUGAAAAUAGUAUGUUUUUACUUGAAUGUGUUGUAAACAUGACUGUUCUUUUUAAAAAGGUUUGCAUGAAACAGUACCUCAAAAAAUUUUGAGAAGCAAAUAAUCUGAAGCAGUUAUGUAAUGUGCUGAAUAAUUUUAUAUGAAAUAAAUGUGAA